rnacentral:rRNA from 1 species
CAAUAGCGUAUAUUAAAGUUGUUGCAGUUAAAGAGCUCGUAGUUGGAUUUCUGGUCGGAAGCUCCUGUCCUCUGAUGAGCGUACAAGUGCGUCCUACCAUCCUUCUGUUAACCUUUAAGGCUUUCGCGGCUUUCUAGGGGCUCAGAUAUUUUACCUUGAGAAAAUUAGAGUGUUUCAGGCAGGCUAGCGCCGGAAUACAUUAGCAUGGAAUAAUGGAAUAGGACUUUUGCCUCUUCUGUUGGUCAUGAGGCUCGAGUAAUGAUUAAUAGGGAUAGUUGGGGGCAUUAGUACUUAACUGUCAGAGGUGAAAUUCUCGGAUUUGUUAAAGACUAACUUAUGCGAAAGCAUUUGCCAAGGAUGUUUUCAUUAA